rnacentral:rRNA from 1 species
CCUACGGGAGGCAGCAGUGGGGAAUAUUGCACAAUGGGCGAAAGCCUGAUGCAGCAACGCCGCGUGAGCGAAGAAGGCCUUCGGGUCGUAAAGCUCUGUCCUAAGGGAAGAAAAGUGACGGUACCUUAGGAGGAAGCCCCGGCUAACUACGUGCCAGCAGCCGCGGUAAUACGUAGGGGGCGAGCGUUAUCCGGAAUCACUGGGCGUAAAGGGUGCGUAGGCGGCCAAAUAAGCCAGGGGUGAAAGGCUACGGCUUAACCGUAGUAAGCCUUUGGAACUGUAUGGCUUGAGUGCAGGAGAGGAGAGUGGAAUUCCUAGUGUAGCGGUGAAAUGCGUAGAUAUUAGGAGGAACACCAGUGGCGAAGGCGACUCUCUGGACUGUAACUGACGCUGAGGCACGAAAGCGUGGGGAGCGAACAGGAUUAGAUACCCUGGUAGUC